rnacentral:rRNA from 1 species
CCUACGGGUGGCAGCAGUGGGGAAUAUUGGACAAUGGGCGAAAGCCUGAUCCAGCCAUGCCGCGUGUGUGAAGAAGGCCUUCGGGUUGUAAAGCACUUUCAGUGGGGAAGAAAGCCUUGGGGCUAAUACCCUCGAGGAAGGACAUCACCCACAGAAGAAGCACCGGCUAACUCCGUGCCAGCAGCCGCGGUAAUACGGAGGGUGCGAGCGUUAAUCGGAAUUACUGGGCGUAAAGCGCGCGUAGGCGGUCUGAUAAGCCGGUUGUGAAAGCCCCGGGCUCAACCUGGGAACGGCAUCCGGAACUGUCAGGCUAGAGUGCAGGAGAGGAAGGUAGAAUUCCCGGUGUAGCGGUGAAAUGCGUAGAGAUCGGGAGGAAUACCAGUGGCGAAGGCGGCCUUCUGGACUGACACUGACGCUGAGGUGCGAAAGCGUGGGUAGCAAACAGGAUUAGAUACCCCAGUCGU